AUUCUAUCUAUCUAUGGCGUUCACUCCAACUCUGGGUUGAGUGGUGCCAUCUGCUUCAUGAUGUCCUGGUGCUGUGUUAGCCAUUCAUCAUGAUGCACUUUCACUCCUAAGCAGGCAGAUGGGA